AGAUACUCAUUGUUGUUACGUGUGUUGGUAUUGUAGCAUAGAUACUCAUUGUUGUUACGUGUGUUGGUGCCCUUGACCUCUGUGUACAUAACGCCUCAGUAAAGUGUGACAGGAUGAAAUCUCAGAAGGUCCGUAGGAGACCCGAGUCCUGCCACGCCUAUCACCCUCAGGAAAAUGCCAAGGAGUGUGGAGAUGCAUCGCAGAUCUACCUGUCUGUCUCUCUCUUCAUCACCUGUCUCACUGCCUCCUUCACCUGUCUCACAGCCUCCACGCUGGUUUUCCGAUGACAGACAGACAGCUACCUAGCCUAAACCCCGCCCCCUCUGGAAAUCUCUCUAGAAUGUUCCAGAAUGCCUGAUCUUAGCAUGCCUGCUGCUGCUUGCGUUAUCUUUAUCAAUCAAUAUGACUAUAUGGCUAAAAUUAUGAUAUUGAUCAUUUGGGCUGAUGGACUGAGAGGAAUAAGCUGUUGACUUCAGAUGUUUGAUGACUUUACAAUCACAGAGAGAUGUUGACUGACUCCAUGUUUGAUGACUUUACAAUCACAGAGAGAUGUUGACUGACUCCAUGUUUGAUGACUUUACAAUCACAGAGAGCUGUUGACUGACUCCAUGCUUGAUGACUUUACAAUCACAGAGAGAUGUUGACUGACUCCAUGCUUGAUGACUUUACAAUCACAGAGAGCUGUUGACUGACUCCAUGCUUGAUGACUUUACAAUCACAGAGAGCUGUUGACUGACUCCAUGCUUGAUGACUUUACAAUUACAGAGAGUAAUAGUCCUGUGUGGCUCAGUCGGUAGAGCAUGGCGCUUGCAACGCCAAGCGUCGUGGGUUUGUUUCCCACUGGGGCCACCCAUAUGUAAAAGUAGUGGCCCCAGCCGACUUGUAAGUCGCUUUGGACAAAAGCGUCUGCUAAAUGGGAUAUAUUACUUCAUGCUUGAUGACUUUCAACCACCAAAGUUGUGCUUCUUUGGACGACCGUUCUAAAACCAUGAAAGGGCUUUUUGGUUUCUUCUUCUUCUUCAGUGUCUGAUAAGAGAACAUUAUAAUGUUUCUAUGCAAAAGGAAACACACUUUAUUUGACUGUGGAAAGAUCCAGUAUCUCCAAUAUGAUUUCAAAGGACUUGACUUUGCAAUAAGACCAUGGAAGACUCAGUCUGUGGAUGAUGUGUUUUAUAAAUGGUUUUGAUAAAUAAUACUCUGGAUUCAUGCAUGUGUUGUCUGUUUACCUAAAGCCAUGAAAUGGAGGAUGAACCUUGGAUAAGGCAGAGGCAUCUUUGAACAGUGAUACAAUUCAGAUAGUAGAACCAGUGACCCCUGCUGGUUGAAAUAGGACAUUGCAGGAUGGUGAAGAAUAAACUGGAGGCUGGCUGGCUGCUGAAGGAUGAACACAAUGGACUCAACUUCCACAUUGUUCUGUUCAUAACUCAUCAGUCUUUGGUCUACGCACCACAAACACAGCAAGUAUCUACUAUUAAAUGUGGGCUGGGUUUUCACUGUUGGAAAUGAAUGGACUGUUUCAGGAAAAACCUUCAAGUCACAUGUCAUCAAUGCAAUCUAAGGCUUACUAAAUCAGUUGACUUAGUUGGCUUACUGCAACACAAGGACCAUUACUGACCACCUACUUCUGUGAUGGACUACUAGGUGGAACAGCCAUUCUGUUAGAAGGGACAACGUUACAAUGUGAUGGACUACUAGGUGGAACAGCCAUUCUGUUAGAAGGGACAACGUUACAAUGUGAUGGACUACUAGGUGAAACAGCCAUUAUGUUAGAAGGGACAACGUUACAAUGUGAUGGACUACUAGGUGAAACAGCCAUUAUGUUAGAAGGGACAACGUUACAAUGUGAUGGACUACUAGGUGAAACAGCCAUUAUGUUAGAAGGGACAACGUUACAAUGUGAUGGACUACUAGGUGAAACAGCCAUUAUGUUAGAAGGGACAACGUUACAAUGUGAUGGACUACUAGGUGGAACAGCCAUUCUGUUAGAAGGGACAACGUUACAAUGUGAUGGACUACUAGGUGGAACAGCCAUUCUGUUAGAAGGAACAACGUUACAAUGUGAUGGACUGCUAGGUGGAACAGCCAUUCUGUUAGAAGGAACAACGUUACAAUGUGAUGGACUACUAGGUGGAACAGCCAUUCUGUUAGAAGGAACAACGUUACAAUGUGAUGGACUACUAGGUGGAACAGCCAUUCUGUUAGAAGGAACAACAUUACAAUGUGUUGAUAUCGGGAUCUCCAAGGUGUCUUUCAUCUGAGUUUUACUGUUUGACUCCAAAGACUUUUAUGAUGGUUUAUAGUUUUCAGCUAAAUUCAUGCAUUCAAUUAUUAUAUUUUUCAUGGCAUAAUCUGUUCUUUCUAAUUCAAAUGACUUGAAUGAAAUGAGUAUAAAAUGCAUCAUUGAGAAUAAUAGGAUGGGAUCCUACUAGUAUUGCUGCUGGACAUUCAACACCACUGUCAGAUGUUACUGUCCAGUGAUUUUCUAAGUGGUGUUUUUUACCAGUCUGUCCCUUUCACUUUGACAGUGAUGCUCUAAUGAUGUCAUAGCAUCAUGUGGAAACGGUCCUCAUGAUGCAGUAUUGUUGAUAAAAGAUGCUGUUGCCCAUGUCUAUGUAUGUAAUGUGAUGUCCUGAGUCCUGUGUGUCUUCUGUGUGUCUGGCUUGGCUUGUGUCCCACAUGGUACCCUUUAACCCUAUGUAGUGCACUACUUUUGACCAGGGCCCAUAGGGAAUAGGGGACCAUUUGGAACACAGCCUGAGAGUCUAGGGGGCAAUAUGAUUCUCACAGCACAGUUUGAUUGACAUGUAGGAUAAUCUGCAAUGGAUCAAUAAUAAUACAAUGAAUAAACUUCCCCUUUAUUUUAAAGCA